rnacentral:rRNA from 1 species
AAGUCUAGCCUGCCCUGUGAUAUAUAUUUAACGGCCGCGGUACUUUGACCGUGCGAAGGUAGCAUAAUCAUUUGUCUUAUAAUUGGAGUCUGGAAUGAAUGGUUGAACAAGGGUAAAACUGUCUCUAUUUUAGGAAUAAAACUUUAUUAUUAAGUCAAAAAGCUUAAAUGAAAUUAAAAGACGAGAAGACCCUAUCGAGCUUAAAAUAUGUCGUAAAAUUUUUAACAUAUAUGGAAUAAAAAAGUUUACUUAAAUUUUGGUUGGGGCGACCUUGGAACAAUUAAAACUUCCGAUAAAACUUAUGUUUAAUAAAUAUUUGAUCCGGUAAGUAACGAUAACAAGAUUUAGCUACCGUAGGGAUAACAGCAUUAUCUCUUUUGAGAGUUCAAAUCGAAAAGGGGGUUUGUGACCUCGAUGUUGGACCAAAAUAACCUAAAGAUGUAGAAGUCUUUAAGGGUUGGUC